GCCCCACUAGCAUAGUUGGUUAUUGCAUCGUGCUUAUAUGCCUUCCAUUGGGAGACAUUCCUCGAGACGCGGGGGUCGGCAGUUCGAGUCUGCCGUGGGGCA